AACCGAACAGAUAACUUAAAUCAUACCCAUGUCAGUAUCUUAACAAAGAACAUACACUUUAUAAUCAACAUAUUUACUCAAUUCAGAUCCUUCAACGGGCGAGUCCACACAAAACCAUUUUAUUGCAGAACAAAAUCACAGGAAGCAAUGUUUCUUUUUAAGACAAAGAUCUUUUCAAAUAGCUAAUAUAAAAAUGGUGCUUUCUGAGUGAGUAGCAGAAAUGCUUUCAAGAUAACACAUGGUUUUAAGUGGCGACCUAGUGGUUAGAGCGUUGGGCCAGUAACCAGCAGGUAGCCUAGUGGUUAGAGCGUUGGGCCAGUAACCAGCAGGUAGCCUAGUGGUUAGAGCGUUGGGCCAGUAACCAGCAGGUAGCCUAGUGGUUAGAGCGUUGGGCCAGUAACCAGCAGGUAGCCUAGUGGUUAGAGCGUUGGGCCAGUAACCAGCAGGUAGCCUAGUGGUUAGAGCGUUGGGCCAGUAACCAGCAGGUAGCCUAGUGGUUAGAGCGUUGGGCCAGUAACCAGCAGGUAGCCUAGUGGUUAGAGCGUUGGGCCAGUAACCAGCAGGUUGCCUAGUGGUUAGAGCGUUGGGCCAGUAACCAGCAGGUAGCCUAGUGGUUAGAGCGUUGGGCCAGUAACCAGCAGGUAGCCUAGUGGUUAGAGCGUUGGGCCAGUAACCAGCAGGUAGCCUAGUGGUUAGAGCGUUGGGCCAGUAACCAGCAGGUAGCCUAGUGGUUAGAGCGUUGGGCCAGUAACCAGCAAGUAGCCUAGUGGUUAGAGCGUUGGGCCAGUAACGAGCAGGUAGCCUAGUGGUUAGAGCGUUGGGCCAGUAACCAGCAGGUAGCCUAGUGGUUAGAGCGUUGGGCCAAUAACCAGCAGGUAGCCUAGUGGUUAGAGCGUUGGGCCAGUAACCAGCAGGUAGCCUAGUGGUUAGAGCAUUGGGCCAGUAACCAGCAGGUAGCCUAGUGGUUAGAGCGUUGGGCCAGUAACCCGAAAGGUUGCCGGAUCGAAUCCCCGAGCUAACGAGGUAAAAAAUAUGUCAUUCUGAACAAGGCACUGUUCCAACGCCGUCAACGUAAAUAAGAAUUUGUUCUUAACCGACAUGCCGAGUUAAGCAGGAGGAGUCAGGACUUCUUCCCUCCAGGAAUGAAACCAAACUCAAGCUUUCAUUGAGCAAGUUUCAACUUGCUGUUGGUUUCACAGGACCCCACUUAGAAACGGUCUUUUGAGAAAUGGGAAACUAAAUAAAGAUCUGUAUCUACAGAUAGAACCAAAGGGAGAGACGGGAUUCACACGGGACCUGGUUUAAACUACUCUGAAGAUAUCUCUUCAUCUGUGAGCAGCAGCAAUCAAUAUGAAGAGGUAGGAGG